CGUUCCGCUACGUUUACGAGUAGCCACUCCCGACAACCGUAAUAAUUAACAUCGAAUAACAAAAAGUUUACCUUACGAUCGAGGUAGGAAAAUGAAAACAGAAUUAGUGCUAGCUAACCAACGACUUAAGAAGGUCAAAUAGAGACAAAUAUGUGUUGGAGAAAAACCGGCAGACGACAUACCUAAAAGAAUAGGAGAAAUUCAAUAAAUCUAUUUUGGAAUUGCAAUUACACAGCAAGCUAAAUAUAUCUGUAAAGAUAUAAUAUACCUAAAAUGAACGUCUGCCGUACCUAGAGAAUUAUAAAAUAGAACCAAGCUUUUAAUAUCCCACAAAGACAACUUAUAUGGAAAAUGCACUAAGAAUAACAUUCCUAUUAAUUAUCCGGAACGUAAAUCUUCCCCAAGAUGUGUAUACUCAUAGAGCCGCUUACCGUCUGAUAAACCGGCACGUCCAUAAGCCAACACUUGGAAUUAGAGCUGAAGGAAUUUCAUCUAGAUUGGAACAAAGAUAAGUGUACUUAAUUAAUGUUCUCAUUUAUAGACCGAAUUGUGUUCCGCAAUAUAUUAUAUAUUUAUU
rnacentral:lncRNA from 1 species